GUUGGUUUCUUGGGGAACUAGAAACGAGGCUCUCCCAGUGUGUGCCAACAUGCUUGGCACUUUCGGGAUGCUAUGGGUCAGGCACCAGAUAAACACACCCAGGGACAGAGGAUGGCUGCUCAGGAAUUUCUGCUGGCAGCUCUUUGUGGACUCGCGAAAAAUUGGCUGAAAAGGAAGGACUGUGACCCAAAGAUGCCCAGCUCCCUGGAAUAGGGCACGUUACAGUGGACUGAGGAGCUACAGUGAGCUGUGCUAAGAGUGUGCCUGGGAAGAGAAACCAAGGACGUGAGAUUCAAAAACAGGCUUUGCCUAAGACUGCAUAAAGCUGCAAGCUCUCCAGCCCUUCCCUGGCCAGUUCCCUGUGACCUCCUAGGCUGAAGAAACCAAGACCAAUGGCAGCUUCCAACCAGCUUGGCAUAAGCGGUUGGCAAGGCAGAGCACCCCUAUCUGUGCCCAGCUGCAGGUCUUGAAGUCUCUCAGUCAUCAGCUCACCUAGGACAUCCAGUUCAUCAGCCAGUCUUGUGGGUUAACUCGUAUUCUGAUUCUCUUUACUGUUCCCUCUGGUUUUAAAAAA
rnacentral:lncRNA from 1 species